GUGAUACACACUUAUAAACAGAAAAGACACCCUCUAGUACUGGCGGUGGCGAUUGACCAUGCCCGAACUACUGAUUUGGCUGGUUCCUACAUGGGUACUUUCCGGACUAACCCUAUGGUAAACGAACGCCGAACCACUCAAAGAAGAGACAAAAAAUGUUGCUCUGUAUACUCUACAACCCACCGCGCACCAGCCACCGAACUAGUUCGGUUUGGAUGCAACGUCUCACCAGUAGACGAAGAAACGAAAAAGCAUGAGAGGAAAAUGAAGAGAGCAGGUAGCUACAAAUGAUGCUGAUCUGCUCUUCUCCUUUCCCUUUUCUGUUUUCGGUCAUUUCAUUGCUGGAAUGUUCUUUGCGUUUGGCUUUUGUGCAAGUCAGUGCGGCUGUCCAAGUGAUUAUAAUUAUUCAAUUUUAAACAGUAAGUCAAAGAAAAUGUAUAGCAAACAGCAUUUGCGUAGGCUCAAUAAAGAAAUAUGUAUAAGACAAAUAUGCAGCCAAACAUAAUCGUGUUAGCGGAGAAACAGUGUCGUGCAAUGAAAUAGAAAAAGUUUAAGGCCGCGAAAUAGGAGAGACAAUCGACGAAAAUGAAACAAAUGGAAAGUGACACUGAAAAAUUUAAAGAACUUCUUUAGAGUUUUGAUUGAUGCCAUAACUGUAGAUACGUGGACUGGAUCAGCUGAAGUCCAGAUUAGGAAGGCCCUACAGCUGCAAAAAAACAACAUUUUUUCAAAAACAGUACCACCGCGAACAGCAGACCUUAAUUAGUAAAUUUAAAAACUUAAAUGAAAUAUAUAAUAAAAUAAAAAUUUAAAUAUGAAAUGAAA